CGGACGGGUGAGUAAUGUCUGGGAAACUGCCCGAUGGAGGGGGGUAACUACUGGAACGGUAGCUAAUACCGCAUAACGUCGCAAGACCAAAGAGGGGGACCUUAGGGCCUCUUGCCAUCGGAUGUGCCCAGAUGGGAUUAGCUAGUAGGUGGGGUAACGGCUCACCUAGGCGACGAUCCCUAGCUGGUCUGAGAGGAUGACCAGCCACACUGGAACUGAGACACGGUCCAG
rnacentral:rRNA from 1 species